UACGGAGGGAGCUAGCGUUAUUCGGAAUUACUGGGCGUAAAGCGCACGUAGGCGGCUUUGUAAGUAAGAGGUGAAAGCCCAGAGCUCAACUCUGGAAUUGCCUUUUAGACUGCAUCGCUUGAAUCAUGGAGAGGUCAGUGGAAUUCCGAGUGUAGAGGUGAAAUUCGUAGAUAUUCGGAAGAACACCAGUGGCGAAGGCGGCUGACUGGACAUGUAUUGACGCUGAGGUGCGAAAGCGUGGGGAGCAAACAGGA
rnacentral:rRNA from 1 species